ACAAAUCAAUUACAAUACUUGGUUGCUCAACCGUCAACAGAUUGACGAUUGGCUUUUAGGACAUAUUUUUCAACACUUCAUCCCAUCGUACCAACAUCACCACUCCUUGGCUAACAGAAAGCCAAACUAAUAAUCAGGUGCAGCCACCAGUGGCAGAAACUCCCCCACCUCCUCAACCAGUGGUAGUGAUGGUGGAUCAGUUCAACCUGCUCUUUCAAUAGAUCCAAAAUCCGACGAUCGCUGUCCAGAUGAUCCAAGCCACUCCUGUACCUUCAUAGGCAGUGCCAUAGCCUGAUCAGGCCAUCCCUACACCUCUAUCGGUGGCACCACCAUCAAAUCUGACCUCAUAGUCGCCACC
rnacentral:lncRNA from 1 species